rnacentral:snRNA from 1 species
AUACUUACCUGGCGCGGGGGAUACCGUGAUCAAGAAGGCGGUGCCUCCAGGACGAGGCCUGUACAUUGCACUCCGUAUGGGCUGACUCUGCGACGACUACCCCAAAUCGGGGUGGCUCGAGCGCAUAAUUUUUGGUAGUGGGGACAAGCGUUCGCGCUGUCCCUU